rnacentral:rRNA from 1 species
UGGGGAAUUUUGGACAAUGGGGGCAACCCUGAUCCAGCAACGCCGCGUGAAUGAAGAAGGCCUUAGGGUUGUAAAGUUCUUUUAUCUAAGAGCAAAAGUUAUGCAUAAAUAGUGCAUGAUGCUGAGAGUAUUAGAUGAAUAAGCACCGGCUAACUACGUGCCAGCAGCCGCGGUAAUACGUAGGGUGCAAGCGUUAAUCGGAAUUACUGGGCGUAAAGGGUGCGCAGGCGGAUAUAUAAGUUAGAUGUGAAAUCCCCGAGCUUAACUUGGGAAUAGCAUUUAAGACUGUAUAACUAGAGUUUGUUAGAGGGGGGUAGAAUUCCGAGUGUAGCAGUGAAAUGCGUAGAUAUUCGGAGGAAUACCGAUGGCGAAGGCAGCCCCCUGGGAUAGAACUGACGCU